rnacentral:rRNA from 1 species
GCUGUGAAGAUGCAGUGUACCCGCGGCAAGACGGAAAGACCCCGUGAACCUUUACUAUAGCUUGACACUGAACAUUGAGCCUUGAUGUGUAGGAUAGGUGGGAGGCUUUGAAGUGUGGACGCCAGUCUGCAUGGAGCCGACCUUGAAAUACCACCCUUUAAUGUUUGAUGUUCUAACGUGGACCCGUAAUCCGGGUUGCGGACAGUGUCUGGUGGGUAGUUUGACUGGGGCGGUCUCCUCCUAAAGAGUAACGGAGGAGCACGAAGGUUGGCUAAUCCUGGUCGGACAUCAGGAGGUUAGUGCAAUGGCAUAAGCCAGCUUGACUGCGAGCGUGACGGCGCGAGCAGGUGCGAAAGCAGGUCAUAGUGAUCCGGUGGUUCUGAAUGGAAGGGCCAUCGCUCAACGGAUAAAAGGUACUCCGGGGAUAACAGGCUGAUACCGCCCAAGAGUUCAUAUCGACGGCGGUGUUUGGCACCUCGAUGUCGGCUCAUCACAUCCUGGGGCUGAAGUAGGUCCCAAGGGUAUGGCUGUUCGCCAUUUAAAGUGGUACGCGAGCUGGGUUUAGAACGUCGUGAGACAGUUCGGUCCCUA